GGCAUAGUUCAGCGGUAGAACGUCGGUCUCCAAAACCGAAUGUCGGGGGUUCGAGUCCUCUUGCC
rnacentral:tRNA from 1 species